AGCAAAUUUUGAUUCUGAAAAUGUUGAAAGGGUUAAUAAAAUGGCUGUUAAAACAUGGAAGUCCAUGACUAAUGAGGUUUUAGAGUGAAUAUGGUAGUGGUGGUGGUUGUGGCAAUUUAGAUCGUGUGUAUAUUGAAGACAUCUUAUUAUUUGAUAUGGAAGUUACACAAUUCAAAAUGAGAAUUCAUAGAAAAAUGCAACAGUGUCACUUAGAUGAUUUUGGUUUUAUCUUUGACAAAGAAGAAAUUACAUGUUAUUGCAAACUUGAAAAAUUUGUGUUGCCUUUUGAAUGAUACCAUGA